rnacentral:rRNA from 1 species
UACAGAGGGUGCGAGCGUUAAUCGGAUUUACUGGGCGUAAAGGGUGCGUAGGUGGUAAAGCAAGUAAGAUGUGAAAGCCCUGGGCUUAACCUGGGUAGUGCAUCUUAAACUGCUUAACUAGAGUAUGGUAGAGGGUAGUGGAAUUUCCGGUGUAGCGGUGAAAUGCGUAGAGAUCGGAAGGAACGCCAGUGGUGAAGACGACUACCUGGACCAAUACUGACACUGAGGUACGAAAGCGUGGGGAUCAAACAGG